UCUGCUUCUCAGUCAUCUGUGGACCACACCUACACCAGCGCUUCCUUCUGCGCAUCCUAUGGCACCUGUCUACUUCCUGUUUUGGGAAUCCCCACAGAGGCUAGCACAGUGCUGAACUUGUAAAAAGUACGCAAUAAAUGAUCCUCUUCCUGAACGACAUUGGAUGAUAAUAAAAUCUCUUGUGAGAGAGAGGCAAAGUUGGACAUCCCAAAGAUGGCAUAGAUAAACAUGACCAGGAAGAGCAGGAGGCCGAUGUUAAACAACGCAGGAAGGGACAUCAUCAAAGCAAAGAGCAGCGUGCGGAUCCCCUUUGCUCCUUUGAUCAGACGUAGGAUUCGGCCAAUCCUGGCAAGACGGAUCACUCGGAACAAGCACGCGGAACACAAUCAGGAAGGAGUGGAAGAAGUCGUUCAUGUGCCACCGUGGGAGCGUACAGUCAUCAUUGAUCUUGCAGACACAUUCUUUGUAGCUCUUACCAAAGAGCUGCAUGCCGACCACAGCAAAAAUGAAGACGAUGAUGGCCAACACCAAGUGGUGGUGCCCUGCAAACCAAAUACUGAUGGCUCAAACCACUCUUCCCAAUAAGUAAUACAACACCACAUAGCAUUUCUUUGGCAAAUCAUGCUACAUGCAAUUUUUCCAGGCUCCGAGCACAUCAUUGGCACCAAAAUAGAGCAAAGGACUGUGUGCACUGCCCUGAUUUAGGUGUGGAUGAUGCCACUUACUGCAGCGGGGAAUGCAGAGUAAAAGGUCUCUGCACAUAAGGACAGGAAGGGGAUGCUGUUCAGUGCUCAAUUCUUUUGAGGCUAAAGGAGAUCCAGAAUUCCACAGACCAUUAUUUCCCAGACAGUGAUUGGAGGAAUACUACUGUUCUGCUGGACUAAUGAAGUGCCACUCCACAUCCACCAGAAUGGCUACAACUUAAAAAGGCUUAUCAUACUGUUUGUGAGAAUCUAGAGCUACAGAAGCUGUCAGAGACU
ensembl:lncRNA novel transcript, antisense to SLC38A11 and SCN3A